UCCGAUAAAUGAUCCCAUAUGCGUUUCUUUUUAUUUUUUAGCAACACAAAGAAAUUUAUUCAAGUAAUACAUGGAUGGGGUUCGAAAUUCCCAGUGGUUUACCACUCCCCUUUCCUAGCUGUCUUUUUCCUCACCCCUUUCACCCUUCCCAUUUCUUCCUCUUCUAUUCAUAAUAUUCACACACACACACUCACACACACACACACACACAAAGAACGACUGCAAGAGAGGAAGAGAAGGCGGGGAGAAGACUGCAGAUCCUUUUGUGUAGUCUCACUCUUUCUUUCCCCUCUUUCUUUCACCCUCCCACUCUCCUGGCUCCUGCUCUCUCUCUUACCGUUCUCUUUCUUCAUGACCCCAUUUUCCUCUUCCUCACUGUAUAUAUUUCAAGAUCCUCUGAGUAAAACUGUGUCUUUAUAAAAUGAAAAAUAUUUAUGUUUAUCUAUGGACAGAACAUUUCUAGACUAGAACUCCUUGGGAAAAGGAUUGGAGAGAAGGUGACUUUUCCAUGUACAUUCACUUCUACUGUGUGAAAUUUUUUUGUUACUAUCCUUCGAAUAAAAAGAACACAUAUUGCUGACAAAAAUAAAGAAAACUACACAUUCCAAGAGGAAAGAAAUCAGGGAUUUACAAAAAACAUCUUUUGUGUUGCAAACACAAAAGAACGACGAUGAGAAUCUCAGCAUGGUAUCUGUAGACAUAAAGAAGAAAGGCUGAAAGAACAGAAAUGGUGGCAUGGGAGAGACAGAGCAUUUCAUGGAUUGGCAGAUUUAUGAGCAUGGCAAAUCAUUACAGGGCCCUCGGAACGCGGGGAGAGGCAGGCAUAAAGGCUUUCGCGAGCCUUCUAGGCGCGCCUCCUCACCCUCAUUCUUGCCUUUCUGGUUUCUCCAGCCACACCGCGUGGGGGCGUGGUUUCACUCCAACCCCGCCCCCGGCUCUGGGCUCCGCCCCCAGCUCUGGGUUCCGCCCCCCUGCCCGGCCCUUACCCUCGCUUGGAGAAGCGGUUCUAAGCUCAGCCUCCGCCGCAGGGCUUCUUUCUACCUCUGCUCCCCUGGAGGGGCCCAUCAUGCUGUCCACCGGCACCCACGAGGGACAGAACUGGAACUGCCCUUCACAGAGGGGUCCAACGUGGCUGAUGCCCCAGCGGAAGCGGAAGUAACGUCAGCGGUCUCCCCACUUCUCUUCGGGCUCUGCUCGCCCCAGACCUCUCCGAAGUGGUCGGUUUCACCCCGGCUUCGCCUCUGGGAUCACGCUGAUUUAGACACUGCGUCCUCCAGCUUCAGGGACCCGACGGUUUCCGCGCGUCCAGGUGACCACUGGGUGAAAGGUGGGUCGGAGUGCCUCCUUUUUUUUUUUAAUGCCAAUGAAUUUUCAUCCUAGAAUUGCGCUUUCUUUGUUCGUCGCGUAUUUAUUGGUGACACAUGGUAUUCUGGCAGAAAGAUAAAGAUGCAAAGAUCCUUCCCCAGAUGCUGGGGCUGCAUUUCAUCCAGAGUGCUUGCAAGAUUCCUAGGUGUCUUCCGGGUGCUUGUAUCUGUAUAUAAUCCAAAAUGGGUCGAGAGAGGGAGAGAGACGGGGGGAGACUCUGCAAAGUAUGCAAAGCAAGCAAGCGCCCCAUCACUAAACUACACCCCGAGCCCCAACACUGAGUUUUUUAAAUUAAGAAUUAAAACGUAUUAAGAAUUAAAACCAUGGCCUCCUCACCGAGCUACAUCCCCACCCCCACCCCCCUCUUUUUUUUGAGACAAAGUCUGGCUAAAUCCCUAAGUUGCCCGGGCUGGCCUCCAACUUCCAUCUUCCUGCCUCAGCCUUUCAGAGUGCUGGGAUUACUGGCGUUUGCCACGCCCAGCUAAAGCGGAGGUAUUAUUUGAAGCGGGUCGGUCUGUAACCACUACCCCCACCAUGGGCUUUUAAAACAGCCCUCCGGGAGUUAAGGGAGGCUUUGUUGUUAGGCUACUACUACGCUUAGNNNNNNNNNNNNNNNNNNNNNNNNNNNNNNNNNNNNNNNNUUUGUUAUGUUCGCCAUGUAGUAACUCCCCACGAUGAAUGUAAUCAUUAUGCACUGCAAACAAGUACUCGUAAAAUUUUUAAAAUUUAAAUAAAAUGCAUUUUAUGGUGAACUAUUUGAGAGUAAGUUGAACAUUGGAGGCAUACUUAACUUUUUUUUGGUACCGGGGAUCAAACUCGGGUCCUUGGGCUUGCGCGGCAAGCGGCGAAACCACUGAGCUAAACCCCCGGCCCCUACUUAGCUUUUACGUAAUUGAUAACACAUCACUGGAAGAUGGGGAUAUUGGCCCACUAAAAGCACAAUACUGUUUCAACCAAGAAAAUAAUAUUUGGGCUGGGAAUGUAGCUCGGUGGUAGAGUGCUUGCUUAACAUACUUCAGGUCCUGAGUUCAAUCCCCUGUACCACCAAAACACAGCAAAACUAUGUAAUACGUACUUUGUAUAAAAUAAAAAAUUUCCACAUUGUUCCAAAGUAGGCUUUUGAGUGUUUUUGGAUCUAAGAUCCCUUCAAGUUUCUUUACUUUCUUUUCUUUUUUCUUUGAGACUUUUUUUUUUUUUUUUUUUGAGACUACCUUUAGAGGUUUCAAUUUUAACAAACUGCCAGCUGUGGCACUAAUGCCAUAGGUUCGCUACCGUGAUGUAAACCUUGCCGGGCUUUAACUCUUGAUCCUCCUGCCUCAGCUUCCUGCGUGCUGCGAUCACUUCAAGCCUGGCUUAUUGCAAGGUUCUCAAAUUGAAAAUUUUUAAUGUCCCUUAGCAUCUUUGAACCCAGAGCAGCCACCAUUGUUUCUCUGUUGUACUGACUUUUUGAAAAGUCAUACUUCUUUUAUGAAGUCACACAUUUUGAUAUUUCCGUUUGUAUUUUCAUGAUGUGUUUAUCCAUCAUUUCUUUUUUUCUUUUUUUGGUACGGGGAAUGAACUCUCCAUCAUUUGUAUUUCUUAUGCAGUGAUGAAUAACCAUGGCUGAUUAAGCACAGUGAAAAAAUUCAAUUUAGGGCUAUUCUUGGAGAACUUGUAAAUUGUUGAAGAAGGUAAGCAUGUGGUUAAUAGCAAAUAAUAACUAUUAUAACAAAUUGAUCAGGCUUUUAGAAGUAAAAUAUUACAUACCCUGUUGGUAUAUGGGAGUCAGUGAAUGUAAGAAAAGUGAAUUUUAUUUAAGCUGAAACCAGAAGACAGAACAUAGGAAUUAGCCAUGUUGAAAGAAAAGAGAAUGGGAGGUAAGGAAAGCUUCCAUGUAUAUUGGCUACCUAUAUUACAUUUCUACAAUGAGAGGGGAAGGCGUCAAUAUUAACCUUAGGUUUGACAGCACAGUGUUUUUCUUUGGGAGAAUAAAUCUGAUCUUUAGUAUAUAACUGACAGGAGAAUGAGUGACAGCUGGUCAAGUGAUGCAAACCAAGGGAAAGUAAGGGAAAGUAAGCCAGGCACCGGGGCUUGUAUCUGUAAUCCAAGCACUCUGGGAGGCUGAGGCAGGAGGGGUGUAAAUUCGAGCCUAGCUGAGGCACCAGUGAUUUAGGGAGACUCUGUCUCAAAAGAAAAAAAGCGCUGGGGAUGUAGCUUAGUGUGAAGGACCUAGACUUAAUCUCUAGUAACUGUUCUUUUCCCUUGCCAAAAAAAGAUAGUAUGAAUAUAUUUUUUAAUUUUCAUGAAUAGGAAGUUAAUUUAAGGAAUUAAUGAGAAUCAAUAGUUGAACAUUGAAAAAGAAAUUCUUUGUGAAAAUUCAUUUAUAUUAUCUAUCUUAGGUAAUGUUUAUGUUCAUAAACAGACUUACAGUCUCUUUGAGUGGUUUUCAGGCCACCUCGGGGUUCUUUCUGUCCAAACUAGGACUCCAUUUCCCUGAGGGAAUGUUCCAGUUCUAGUUCCAGGAGUAACCAGUCCUGUGUGGCUCCUUAUAGACACUAUCAUUUCUAGGGGUUUGUUUGUUUGGUACUGGGGAUCGAACUCGGGUCCUUCCGCUUACCAGGCAGGUGCUAGAACCACUGAGCUAAAUCCCUGGCCCAUUUCUAGGGGUUUGGAAUUACUCCAUAGGUAAAUGACCAGGACACUCCACUCCCAGUGUACUCUGGCAAAGAGCUUUGAAGGGACCCUUUGGCUUGACAAUACCCCUACCACCUUCUGUAUUCACCUCUUAGGGGUCCCAAUAAGCUACCUGGACUUACAGAAAAAAAUGAUGAGAGGUUUCUGAAGGUAAAGUUCGUGAGGAUCCUGAAGAUACAGCUGGUAAGGAUUCACACAUACUGCUGGCAGCAGAGUUUACUGGAGCAAGAAUUUGAGCUGUUGGCCAUAGCUAUUAAAUUUGUGCACAUGCAUGCUCUAUAAUAUUACACCACUGGGUGCAGUGUGCGUUAAUAUAAAGAUAAAGGUGUUGAGCCAGGUGUGAUGGCACAUUCCUGUAAUCCCAGCACUUGGGAGGCCAGCCUGGGCUACACACUGAGUUCAAGGUCAGCCUGAACUGCAUAGCAAGACCCUGUCUCAAAAAAACCAAAACCAAACAAAAAAG
rnacentral:lncRNA from 1 species